rnacentral:rRNA from 1 species
UACGUAGGGUGCAAGCGUUUGUCCGGAAUUACUGGGCGUAAAGGGCUCGUAGGCGGCCAACUAAGUCAGACGUGAAAUCCCUCAGCUUAACUGGGGAACUGCGUCUGAUACUGGAUGGCUUGGAUUUGGGAGAGGGAUGCGGAAUUCCAGGUGUAGCGGUGAAAUGCGUAGAUAUCUGGAGGAACACCGGUGGCGAAGGCGGCAUCCUGGACCAAUAUUGACGCGUGAGGAGCGAAAGCCAGGGGAGCAAACAGGGA